GAAGAAGCACAAAGGAACAGAAAUGAGCAGCAAGGAGCAGGAAGGGUCAGCAAGGAGCAGGAAGGGUCAGCAGGAAGGGGCAGAAAGGGUUAGCAAGGAGCUGGAAAGGGCAGCAAAGAGCAGGAAGGGACAGAAGGAGCACAAAUGUAAAGAAGGAGAAGGAGCAGAAAUGAGCAGGAAGGGUCUGCAAGGGGCAGCAAGGAGCAGGAAGGGUCUGCAAGGAGAAGGAAGGGUCUGCAAAGAGCAGAAAGGGACAGAAGUAGCACAAAGGUAAAGGAGCAGAAGGAGCACAAAGUUAAAGUAGGAGAAGGAGCAGAAAAGGGUAGCAAGGACCAGAAAGGGAUCAGAA